rnacentral:rRNA from 1 species
UAAGGAAUAUUGGUCAAUGGGCGGAAGCCUGAACCAGCCAUGCCGCGUGCGGGAAGAAGGCCCUCUGGGUUGUAAACCGCUUUUGUCAGGGAAGAAUGACCGAGAUUUAUCUUGGGAGGGACGGUACCUGAAGAAUAAGCACCGGCUAACUCCGUGCCAGCAGCCGCGGUAAUACGGAGGGUGCAAGCGUUAUCCGGAAUCACUGGGUUUAAAGGGUACGUAGGCGGUGAUAUAAGUCAGGUGUGAAAUGCCGCAGCUUAACUGCGGAACUGCACUUGAUACUGUAUGACUUGAGUAGGGUGGAGGUACACGGAAUGCAUCAUGUAGCGGUGAAAUGCUUAGAUAUGAUGUAGAACACCGAUAGCGAAGGCAGUGUGCCACACCUUUACUGACGCUGAGGUACGAAAGCGUGGGGAGCGAACAGG